UCGCGAUAUGCGGUAUCGGUAACUGUGCAAGGUUUUUGGGGCCUUAGCCACUAGAUAAUGGUCCACUCUGCAGUUAACAAUGAGACGUUAUUCCUUUUCUAUAACUUAGGCCUUUUUUCCCCUCUGUUUAAACAAGUGUUCGUUCAUUUAUUUCAUAUUGGUAUAAACCUAACCAUUUUACAGGGAAGUGAGUGGGGGGAGUUCUAUAAUGAAAGUGUCAGUUUUAUAUCUUGCACUGUAUCACAUAGACAAGUAUAGACACGUAUGCUAUUUGAAGACAGAUGAAUUUUGCUUAGCUUUUAUAUAUAUAUAUAUAUAUAUAUAUA